rnacentral:rRNA from 1 species
AGAGUUUGAUCCUGGCUCAGGACGAACGCUGGCGGCGUGCCUAAUACAUGCAAGUCGAACGGUCUUUUCUAUGGAAGCUUGCUUCCACUGAGAAGAUAGUGGCGAACGGGUGAGUAACACGUGGGUAACCUGCCCAUAAGAGGGGGAUAACAUCCGGAAACGGGUGCUAAUACCGCAUAGUUUUCUUGAUCGCAUGAUCGGGAAAGGAAAGACGGCCUUUGUGCUGUCGCUUAUGGAUGGACCCGCGGCGUAUUAGUUAGUUGGUGAGGUAACGGCUCACCAAGACGAUGAUACGUAGCCGACCUGAGAGGGUGAUCGGCCACAUUGGGACUGAGACACGGCCCAAACUCCUACGGGAGGCAGCAGUAGGGAAUCUUCCGCAAUGGACGAAAGUCUGACGGAGCAACGCCGCGUGAGUGAAGAAGGUUUUCGGAUCGUAAAACUCUGUUGUCAGAGAAGAACAAGUUGGAGAGUAACUGCUCCAGCCUUGACGGUAUCUGACCAGAAAGCCACGGCUAACUACGUGCCAGCAGCCGCGGUAAUACGUAGGUGGCAAGCGUUGUCCGGAUUUAUUGGGCGUAAAGCGAGCGCAGGCGGUUCCUUAAGUCUGAUGUGAAAGCUCACGGCUCAACCGUGGAAGGUCAUUGGAAACUGGGGAACUUGAGUGCAGAAGAGGAGAGUGGAAUUCCAUGUGUAGCGGUGAAAUGCGUAGAUAUAUGGAGGAACACCAGUGGCGAANGCGACUCUCUGGUCUGUAACUGACGCUGANGCUCGAAAGCG